UUUUAAAAGGACGGCGUAAAGCUGUCGCUAUGGGGGAUGGGCCCCGCGGUGCAUUAGCUAGUUGGUAAGGUAAAGGCUUACCAAGGGGCGAUGAUGCAUAGCCCGAGUUGAGAGACUGAUCGGCCACAUUGGGGACUGAGACACGGGCCCAAACUCCUACGGGAGGCAGCAGUAGGGAAUCUUCCACAAUGGACGCAAGUCUGAUGGAGCAAACGCCGCGUGAGUGAAGAAGGUUUUCGGAUCGUAAAGCUCUGUUGUUGGUGAAGAAGGAUAGAGGUAGUAACUGGCCCUUUAUUUGACGGUAAUCAACCAGAAAGUCACGGGCUAACUACGUGCCAGCAGCCGCGGUAAAU
rnacentral:rRNA from 1 species